rnacentral:rRNA from 1 species
CAGUCGCCGCGGUAAUACAGAGGGUGCGAGCGUUAAUUGGAUUUACUGGGCGUAAAGCGUGCGUAGGCGGCUUCUUAAGUCGGAUGUGAAAUCCCUGAGCUUAACUUAGGAAUUGCAUUCGAUACUGGGAAGCUAGAGUAUGGGAGAGGAUGGUAGAAUUCCAGGUGUAGCGGUGAAAUGCGUAGAGAUCUGGAGGAAUACCGAUGGCGAAGGCAGCCAUCUGGCCUAAUACUGACGCUGAGGUACGAAAGCAUGGGGAGCAAACAGGAUUAGAUACCCCAGUAGUCCCUGUCUCUUAUAU